rnacentral:tRNA from 14 species
GCGGCGCGGGGCGACGGUCCCUACCGCUGAGCGCUCGAUCCGCUCGCGGCGCUGCGCACCAGCGCGCGGCACGCGCUCGAGGCGCGAUCGUCGCA